AAAAAGUGUAAAGGGGAUACCUAGGAAAAUCAUGAACUAGUUAUCUAAAAUAUAUUACAGAAAAGAUAAAAGAUGCAUAUGCAUUUUUCAGUGUGCAUAGUGUUGAUUGUGCCUAUACAAGUGGUGUCGUUGAUAAAUAAAGGCCAAUACCCAGAUUCACUGGAAACAUUGACAGAAGUUGAAGACUGUCCUAGAACUGCACACGAGUGGCAGAAAGCUGCAAACAAGAAGAAUUGCGACAUAGUUCAACAUAAUACAGACAAAGCUUUCGCGUACCAUUGUGUGAUAGAUACGUCGAGGAAUGCAACUGUGGAAGUAUGUGUUCCAUCUUUGCAAAUGUUAGGAUACUGUGCUGAUUAUAGCGAUGCUGAUGCUAAAAUAAUCAAUAAUCUUGAAUGCACUGACUUCAACCCGCC